rnacentral:rRNA from 1 species
CGACUCUGUUGCCUCCGGGGCGACCCUGCCUUCGGGCGGGGGCUCCGGGUGGACACUUCAAACUCUUGCGUAACUUUGCAGUCUGAGUAAACUUAAUUAAUAAAUUAAAACUUUUAACAACGGAUCUCUUGGUUCUGGCAUCAAUGAAGAACGCAGCGAAAUGCGAUAAGUAAUGUGAAUUGCAGAAUUCAGUGAAUCAUCGAAUCUUUGAACGCACAUUGCGCCCCCUGGUAUUCCGGGGGGCAUGCCUGUUCGAGCGUCAUUUCACCACUCAAGCCUCGCUUGGUAUUGGGCAACGCGGGCCGCCGCGUGCCUCAAAUCGACCGGCUGGGUCUUCUGUCCCCUAAGCGUUGUGGAAACUAUUCGCUAAAGGGUGUUCGGGAGGCUACGCCGUAAAACAACCCCAUUUCUAAGGUUGACCUCGGAUCAGGUAGGGAUACCCGCUGAACUUAAGCAUAUCAAUAA